UACAGAGGCCUCGAGCGUUAGGCGGAAUCACUGGGCUUAAAGCGUGUGUAGGUGGAUGCCUAAGUACCUUGUGAAAUCCCAUGGCUUAACCAUGGAAUUGCUUGGUAUACUGGGUGUCUUGAGCCACUCAGGGGCGAGCGGAACAAAUGGUGGAGCGGUGAAAUGCGUAGAUAUCAUUUGGAACGCCAAUGGUGAAAACAGGUAGCUGGGGCUGUGCUGACACUGAGACACGAAAGCCAGGGGAGCAAACGGG
rnacentral:rRNA from 1 species